UACGUAGGGUACAAGCGUUGUCCGGAAUUAUUGGGCGUAAAGAGCUCGUAGGCGGUCUGUCGCGUCGGAUGUGAAAACCCAGGGCUCAACCCUGGGCCUGCAUUCGAUACGGGCAGACUAGAGUUCGGUAGGGGAGACUGGAAUUCCUGGUGUAGCGGUGAAAUGCGCAGAUAUCAGGAGGAACACCGGUGGCGAAGGCGGGUCUCUGGGCCGAAACUGACGCUGAGGAGCGAAAGCGUGGGGAGCAAACAGG
rnacentral:rRNA from 1 species